CAGAAGAACAAAGAUAAAGUCACUUUGUUCUGCUCUGUGUUGGGCGAUGGAAACUGUAGACACACAGUGGAGUGGCUGUAUGAGGGUAAAGAGAAAAUUUACCCUCAUACAUCUUCCUGCUCUGCCACUGUCACAUUUACACCAUCCCACUUGAAUCAGAAGUCAAAGUCAUUAAAGUGUAAUGUAACAGAUGUUUACACUAAUAAAAUGCAGCUGUUUCCGUUCAUUCCUCAGUCCUCAGGUGAGAAAACAGGUGAGAACAUCUUUAAUUAUUCAUAAUAAUAUGUUCUGGAGAAUCUAAAGUUAAAUGUCAACUUUGCCUUUCUCAACAUUUUUCAUGUCUAGAACAUGUUGUCUUAAUGCAGGCUGUAGUUAUUUCUUGUUAUUGUGUUUGCUCAGAUAAAAGAUUUACAACAUCAACACAGUCAGUUACCAUAACAACAAAAACAAAGUCAGAGACACAAAAAACAUCCACAAGAAAAACAACAUCAACAGAACAACAUCAGCGGACACACAAACCAACAACAAUCCAUCACAACAAGCAGUGUGAAUGUCAGACUGACUCUUGGCUGCUGGUGGAGAUUUUCUCUGCUUCAGUCAGUGUGUCUCAGUCUGAAACUGCCUUCUUGUUCAGAACCAGCUGCUGGUUUGAUGUUAUUUAUCUUUACAGGUUCAUCAUGGCGGUAUAUUAUCGUAUCAGUGGUUUUAGCAGCUCUGUUAACAUCUGUUGUUGCAGUCAACAUUUGGACAAAAACUAAAGGAAACAAAACAAAGACUGUAAACACGGUGUGCAGUGAUGAUGAUGAUGAAGAUACAGUGAGGUAUGAAAACAUUGGGGAGCCUUCUGUUUCUCUCAGACUCCACUGACAACAGAAAUGAGUCCACAGCUGUUAAAGUUCAUCUCAACACCUUUUGCACCUGAAGACAACAACAGAAUCACAUCGUGUUCGUGUGACCUGAGAUUUAUAUUUAAAUCCAAAUCUCUGGAUAGAAGUUCAGGUUUUAAUAUCUUCUCAUAUCAAGAGACAAAUUGUUUUUAUUUUUUUCUUUGUUUUGUAUUUUCUGCACCAUCUCUAAAAUGUUUUCCUGUUUUUUAAUAUUUAAUUUAAAUUAGAAUUCAGGAGCUGAGUGUUUUCAUGGUUUGUGAGAUUUGUUGUGAACUUUGUGUUUUAGUUUCUUAAACUAAUGUUCUGUUAAUUUCUCCCUGUUUUUCCAGGUUAGCUUUAGCUGUUAACUUCCUCUUCUCUGUGCUCAGUUUGUCCUCCGUUCUAUUUCUGAUUAACUUUAUUUUAUUCAGUAGAAUCUGUUCCUCUGUUAACUCCACUUAGUUUCCUUCUCUGUCACACACCGGAGGCCUGUACUACGAAGUGUGAUUAACAAGCCCCGGAUAUUCCUCUGUUACCAGGGUUAACUUACCCAGACAUUCAGGAUCUGGAUAAGCGGUACAACGAAGCUGGUUACUAACUCAGUAAUACAACCCAGGGUUUUCCACUAGUGACGCGUCACCACCACUUUGAGUUUGUGUUGCAGGUGCUGUCUGGUGAUCAGUGGUAGGAGCCACACCUGGACCCGGUGUGUUCUGCCACUUAGUUAAGAUCUUCACCAGCCGAAGCUCAGGCGUCUCCCAGGCUUGGGCUGGCUCUGUUAAUGCAUAAAUUCAUCAAUUAUACAAUAAUAAUUCAUCAGAGAAUAUAAACGAACAUCACUCUGAUCACUUAAUUUCACUUUAUUACCACCCAGAUGUUUCAGGCAGAGCGCUUCCUCAGUUCCUUCCUUUCCUUCAUAUUUUCCAUUCAGAUCUUUGGAGGCUCAGCACCCUGUAUGAGCACGUUUUGUGUUGGAAUAUUAAUUCCUCACUGUGACGGCAUGAGUAGUUGUUUGUUACAUAAAUUCAUGGUUCUGCAGUUCUGCCAUGUGUGAGCAUCAUUAUUAAUUUCAUUAUUUCAGAUGCGGCCCUAGUGGAGACAAAUAGACUUGGGACCAAGUCAAGAACAAGUACAAAAACAUACUUCAUAGCGGUCGGUGACAAGGAUUUAUUUCUCUCCUGAGCACUCCUCUCACGAUCCACGCAUCAACAUUGACGGGAUCUUUUAAGCAUGGGCGGCCAUUUUCCAGGAGAACUUGGUCAGGAGUUGAUGCUUUCAUACUCGUUGAUCUCUUAUCCAGAACAUAACCUGCUCCAGACCAGGUUAUCCUUUCAGCAGAAGUUACCAUGGUGAUUACCCCCAGUUAGAAGUUAACCAGCGUGGUAGUAAGUAAAACCCCGGGUUUACCCCAAAGUUACCUUGAGAGAAAAUCCAGCAUCGUAAUACAGGCCUCUGGUCUUUGUUAACAGAUUACAAGACACCUCUUCUGUGUUUCUCAUUAUCUUUUCUCUCAGUUUAAAGUCCAAUCAGGUUAUUUUGUGCUUUUCUAGGCUGUUGCCAUUUCAACUGGUUUCUGUGCAUCAUCUUCAUUGUUAUUUGGAAUUUUUUUAUACCUGUAGAUUAUUGUUAGAUUUCCUGCCAAAGCAGUUCUUUACAUUUAUUUCAUUUAUUUUUGUUGUAAAUUUGCACAUCAAAGUUGUUUGUUGAUGAUCUGCAGCCUCCUGCUGGCUGGUUCUGUGUUUGGCUCUUCCACCUUCAACCAUGACUUUAGACAAAUGUGUCCUUUAUUAAUUGGGAGAAAAAUCUUUUAUUGGCAUCUGAAUUUUAUUAAAAUCUAAAAUUCAAUUCUAAAGUGUUUACUUGUUUUUAGAUCUCUCUCACCUUCUAUAAACAUAUAAACAUAAACAUGAUCAGAUGUCAGUUUAAGAUAAUCUGUGUUCACACUGCAGG